rnacentral:rRNA from 1 species
GAUGAACGCUGGCGGCGUGCCUAAUACAUGCAAGUCGAGCGAACGGACGAGAAGCUUGCUUCUCUGAUGUUAGCGGCGGACGGGUGAGUAACACGUGGAUAACCUACCUAUAAGACUGGGAUAACUUCGGGAAACCGGAGCUAAUACCGGAUAAUAUUUUGAACCGCAUGGUUCAAAAGUGAAAGACGGUCUUGCUGUCACUUAUAGAUGGAUCCGCGCUGCAUUAGCUAGUUGGUAAGGUAACGGCUUACCAAGGCAACGAUGCAUAGCCGACCUGAGAGGGUGAUCGGCCACACUGGAACUGAGACACGGUCGAGACUCCUACGGGGGGCCGCAGUAGGGAAUCUUCCGCAAGGGGCGAAAGCCUGACGGAGCAACGCCGCGUGAGUGAUGAAGGUCUUCGGAUCGUAAAACUCUGUUAUUAGGGAAGAACAUAUGUGUAAGUAACUGUGCACAUCUUGACGGUACCUAAUCAAAAAGCCACGGCUAACUACGUG